GGCUAUGAAAUGAGGAGUGGUUAACAUGUUGGACUACUGCUUGACAGGUCAUAGGUUCAAAUCCCAGCAUUGCCA